CCUACGGGGUGCAGCAGUGAGGAAUAUUGGUCAAUGGACGCAAGUCUGAACCAGCCAUGCCGCGUGCAGGAAGACGGCUCUAUGAGUUGUAAACUGCUUUUGUACGAGGAUAAACGCAGAUACGCGUAUCUGUCUGAAAGUAUCGUACGAAUAAGGAUCGGCUAACUCCGUGCCAGCAGCCGCGGUAAUACGGAGGAUUCAAGCGUUAUCCGGAUUUAUUGGGUUUAAAGGGUGCGUAGGCGGUCGGAUAAGUUAGCGGUGAAAUCCCGAGGCUCAACGUCGGAAUUGCCUCUGAUACUGGUCGGCGAGAGAGUAGUUGCGGUAGGCGGAAUGUAUGGUGUAGCGGUGAAAUGCUUAGAGAUCAUACAGAACACCGAUUGCGAAGGCAGCUUACCAAGCUACUUCUGACGUUGAGGCACGAAAGCGUGGGGAGCAAACAGGAUUAGAUACCCCGGUAGUC
rnacentral:rRNA from 1 species